UGUUUGCCAUAUGCCCCACCUGGAGUAUAUCAUUCAUUGACUCCAGUUUGGAGUCCCCUUAGCGAAGACGCAUAUUGUGAUCCUAAUGAUCUCACCUUUUUUAUUCCAGCACUCCAUGCUUCACUCCCACUUCUGAUGCCCCAACCCCAGCUUUGGGUAGAGGGGAAUAAAAUUGUGGCUGGGGUGUUGGUUGAAGCAUAAUUGGUGAAGGAGGGCACCAUAAAGUGUUUACAAAACCAAAAGCAAUUACAGGUCUAUGGAUAAGAGGAUAGUAUAAUCACCAGCAGCAAUGUUUACAAAGGGAUCUUUACUCAGAAAACACAGUCUCACCCCAUCCUUUCAGAUCUGCUGUAUGAACACAGUGUACAUCUGUAGCCAUGUCUACAGAGAUGCUCGAUAACCUCUGAGGCUACUCUGAAAAUCUUCAUCAUUACUGACUCCCUGGGUUAAGGUGGAAAGUGGACCAGCUGUUGUGGAAAUAAAAGCCUUGGGUCUAGCUUCAACUAUGUGAUGCCAAGCAAGCCCCUGGAACUGAGUCUGGUUCUUUAUCUUGAAAGUGAGGAUAAUAAUUCUUAUUUUGCCUUGUUCAUAAUUUGAGAAUUAAAUAAGAUAAUGGAUGGCAAAGAGCUCCAUAAGUUAAAAUGCCCUAUCCAACUGUAACAUACGAUAAUUCAAAGACACCUCCACAGUUUGCACAGUGUUUUUUCUAUUGCCAAAUCCCCAUUGCCCGAGUAUUGAAUGGGCAGCAAUUAUGAGACUCAACUCACAGCAUCUGAAAGACUUCAAGUAGGGGGAUCCCAUUGAUUAUAUGGCCUUAACUGAAAGACCAGACUUUGUAAUAGAGUCCCAAUCUUAAAAGAGCAUAUACAGAAUGGUGAGAGGCAAAGCCAGUCAACCAUAACCAACCCUGGAUAUCACUGGGUGACUUGGGUGGAAGCCAAACCUCCCUCACUUCCUUUGUCCCCUGAGGACUUUUUCUAGCCAGGUAAAGUAGAAGUUUCAUGAUUAGCAUUAUAUUCCAAUUAAAAUACUUCUCAGAGCAUUAUGAACAACUUCCCUCCAAAUGAAUAAUAGUUACAUUAAGAAAUUAAGGGAUCCAGGUACAGUGGCUCAUGCCUGUAAUUCCAACACUUUGGAAAGUCCAGGGGGAGGAUCACUUGAACCCAGGAGUUCCAGAUCAGCCUGGGCAACACAGGGAGACCCUAUCUCUACAAAAAAAUUAAAAAUAAGCUGGGCAUGGUGGCGUGCACUGUGGUCUCAGCUACUCAGGAGGCUGAAGUCGAAGGAUUUCAUGAUCCCAGGAGGUUGAGGCUGCAGUGAGCUAUGAUUGUGUCACUGAAUUCCAGCCUGGGCAAAAGAGUGAGACCCUAUCUCUACAAAAAAA
rnacentral:lncRNA from 1 species